GCCCCUGUAGCUCAGUGGAUAGAGCGUCUGCCUCCGGAGCAGAAGGUCGUGGGUUCGAAUCCCGCCGGGGGCACCC
rnacentral:tRNA from 1 species